UGGAUGGAUGGAUGGAUGGAUUGGAUGGAUGGAUGGAUGGAUGGAUGCCAAAGCAAUUUGCUUGAUGAAAAAAGGCCUUCACGUUUCCUGAAAAACUUGGUGACAUGUUGCAUAAGUGGAUGUUAUGACAUUGGCCCCAAAAGUCGUCGAAUAAAAUUGGGUUUUGUUUUUUUUUUUAGAAAAAUAAUGACUCUUUCUCUCUAUGUGUGUGUGUGUGUAUGCGCAUGUGUUUCUUAUAGAGAAAGAGCUGCCAAUCUUAGCGAGUGCUACAGGACAAACAGUUAAGCCCUUUUUAUUUUGUUCUUAAUCAUCCCACCUCCAUUGUUUAGCUGUGCCUUUCCUGCAGUUUGAAAGUAAAAACCUAAACCUUUGAACGUCUCUUUGGACAGCACUGUAACCUCCAUCCCACCUUCCAAAAACGUUGGAUGAAACAUUUGGAAGCUAAAUCGGCGUGUUUCUAAAAUCAAAAUUUCCCCUAAUUUGAGACCUCACCAGUACACUGUUUUUUGAACUGAAACCCACUACUUAAAAAAUCUGAAACGCUUUUCGCAUCCAUCUUUGGAACCGAGGCCAUUGAAGGGCUCAGGGAAGUAGCUCUGUCUACUUAUCUGUCAUUCUCUGAUAAAUACUUGUGAAUUUUUGUAUGAGUCCAGAGCUAUUAAUAUAUUUAAUUAUUUUUGCUGGUAGGGAUUUGAAGAGGCCAGACCGCUUCUCCUCCUUGUAGAAGUUAGGUACAGAAUGAAUCUAACAAAGGGAAGUACAAUUCACUUGCUUUUAUUCAGAAGAUCAUUGGAAAUUAAAAUCCCAUAAAGUGGAUUUAUUAGCAUGCUGUGAUCAGUCUUCCAGUGAAGGUUAUUUUGUAUAAGUAACAUGUGUCCAUGUAUGUAAUAAUACAACUUACUAUAUUGAUUGUCUUUGAACCAUCACUCACAAAUGCGUGCAAACACACACUCACACAAAUGUAGUCAAUAAAAUAUAGUCUUACACUUU